rnacentral:rRNA from 1 species
UACGUAGGGUGCAAGCGUUGUCCGGAAUUAUUGGGCGUAAAGAGCUCGUAGGCGGUUUGUCGCGUCUGCUGUGAAAACUCGGGGCUUAACUGUGGGCGUGCGGUCGAUACGGGCAUCACUGGAGUUCGGCAGGGGAGACUGGAAUUCCUGGUGUAGCGGUGAAAUGCGCAGAUAUCAGGAGGAACACCGGUGGCGAAGGCGGGUCUCUGGGCCGAUACUGACGCUGAGGAGCGAAAGCGUGGGGAGCAAACAGG